UACGAAGGGGGCUAGCGUUGCUCGGAAUCACUGGGCGUAAAGCGCACGUAGGCGGAUUGCUAAGUCAGGGGUGAAAUCCUGGAGCUCAACUCCAGAACUGCCUUUGAUACUGAAGAUCUUGAGUCCGGGAGAGGUGAGUGGAACUGCGAGUGUAGAGGUGAAAUUCGUAGAUAUUCGCAAGAACACCAGUGGCGAAGGCGGCUGACUGGUCCGGUUCUGACGCUGAGGCGCGAAAGCGUGGGGAGCAAACAGG
rnacentral:rRNA from 1 species